rnacentral:rRNA from 1 species
AUGCGACUGUGGAUCGAGCCCAUGUGAAGCCUCUUCGAUGAGUCGAGUUGUUUGGGAAUGCAGCUCAAAAUGGGUGGUAAAUUUCAUCUAAAGCUAAAUACUGGCUGGAGACCGAUAGCGCACAAGUAGAGUGAUCGAAAGAUGAAAAGCACUUUGGAAAGAGAGUUAAAAAGUACGUGAAAUUGUUGAAAGGGAAGCGCUUGCAACCAGACCUGUCCGUAGGUGAUCAGCCGCUGUUCUCAGUGGUGCACUCGCUCUGCGAUCAGGCCAGCAUCGGUUCGGGCGGUCGGAUAAAGGCCUUGGGAAUGUAGCUUCCUUCGGGGAGUCUUAUAGCCCUCGGUGCAAUGCGGCCAGCCGGGACCGAGGACCGCGCUUCGGCUAGGAUGCUGGCGUAAUGGUUGUAAGCGACCCGUCUUGAAACACGGACCAAGGAGUCUAACAUCUAUGCGAGUGUUUGGGUGUUAAACCCAUGCGCGGAAUGAAAGUGAACGGAGGUGAGAACCCUUAAGGGCGCAUCAUCGACCGAUCCAGAUGUCUUCGGAUGGAUUUGAGUAUGAGCAUAGCUGUUGGGACCCGAAAGAUGGUGA